UAAUAGACUCUCCAGAGAGAAACGCACAUUAGGGAUUGUGAAUGGAAGAUGGUAUUGCUGUUUUACACAAGCAGGCUUGAGGGCGAAAGGACAGCCUCUUGAUAAUUAGAGCAACCUGAGACACAGCUCAAAGAAGGCUUAUUUCGAUCUUCGCAUUUAGACGCUGAGAAGUCGACACCUUCAUGUAAUCAAUUUGUGUAAAACAGAAUAAAAAUGUGUCUGAUUUGUUAAA